rnacentral:rRNA from 1 species
AUUGAACGCUGGCGGCAUGCCUUACACAUGCAAGUCGAACGGCAGCACGGGGGCAACCCUGGUGGCGAGUGGCGAACGGGUGAGUAAUACAUCGGAACGUGCCCAGUAGUGGGGGAUAGCCCGGCGAAAGCCGGAUUAAUACCGCAUACGACCUUUGGGUGAAAGCGGGGGAUCGCAAGACCUUGCGCUAUUGGAGCGGCCGAUGUCAGAUUAGGUUGUUGGUGGGGUAAAGGCCUACCAAGCCGACGAUCUGUAGCUGGUCUGAGAGGACGACCAGCCACACUGGGACUGAGACACGGCCCAGACUCCUACGGGAGGCAGCAGUGGGGAAUAUUGGACAAUGGGCGCAAGCCUGAUCCAGCGAUGCCGCGUGUGUGAAGAAGGCCUGC